rnacentral:rRNA from 1 species
UACAGAGGUCCCGAGCGUUGUUCGGAUUCACUGGGCGUAAAGGGUGCGUAGGUGGCAAGGUAAGUUUGAUGUGAAAUCUUCGAGCUCAACUCGGAAACUGCAUUGAAUACUAUCUUGCUUGAGGAUUGGAGGGGAGGCUGGAAUUCUCGGUGUAGCAGUGAAAUGCGUAGAUAUCGAGAGGAACACCAGUGGCGAAGGCGAGUCUCUAGGCAACUCCUGACACUGAGGCACGAAAGCUAGGGGAGCAAACAGG